UACGGGAGGCAGCAGUGGGGAAUAUUGCACAAUGGGCGAAAGCCUGAUGCAGCUAUGCCGCGUGUAUGAAGAAGGCCUUAGGGUUGUAAAGUACUUUCAUCGGGGAGGAAAAAACAAAACUAAUAAUUUUAUUUCUUGACGUUACCCGAAAAAGAAGCACCGGCUAACUCCGUGCCAGCAGCCGCGGUAAUGCGGAGGGUGCUAGCGUUAAUCAGAAUUACUGGGCGUAAAGAGCACGUAGGUGGUUUUUUUAAGUCAGAUGUGAAAUCCCUGGGCUUAACCUAGGAACUGCAUUUUGAAACUGAAAUACUAGAGUAUCGUAGAGGGAGGUAGAAUUCUAGGUGUAGCGGUGAAAUGCGUAGAUAUCUGGAGGAAUACCUGUGGCGAAAGCGGCCUCCUAAACGAAUACUGACACUGAGGUGCGAAAGCGUGGGGAGCAAACAGGGAUUAGAUACC
rnacentral:rRNA from 1 species